CAUGGAGCAAGAAGACCCGAUGGAAUUAAAUAAAACAGGAGAAGUAAUGCAGGAAGUCUCCAAAGAAAUAAUCAAAUUUGAUGAAGAGAAGACUGGUGAUGACGAUCGAUAUUCGUGGGAAAGCGAAUCGGUGAAAGAUGACGAUGAUGAUAAAAAAACAACAAAAUGUACGGACAUCUUUCGUUAUUUAUUUAUAAAACUGCCAUCCGUCAUCUUUUCCUGCUGGAAAAGAAAAAAAUAAAUGCUCGACAAUGAAAAAGGGUAGCCGAUGUGCAUGCCAGUCAAUCAAAGGAACAUGCACCAAAGAGGGGAAAAUUCCCUAAAUUGAAGAAACUUUUCAGAUUCUUCUUUUGAACUCCGUCCCUGUGGAGAAGUUCGAACUUGCAGACUAGAUCUGCUGUACAUAGUUCAUUGUACAUAUCAUCAUCAUCAUUUUCAUCUGUACAUAUUCAUCGUCAUUCAUUUUUUUAUUUAUCGUGAUUAUUUCAAAAUUUAUAAAAUUCUGCAUUUCGGCAAUCAUCAUUUAAAAAAUCCAACUUAUGACACUUCUAACACCGAUUGUGACUUAUAUCUAUUGGACUGACAUUAUGAUACCGGACAUACCAAAUGUAUUUUGCACCAAUCUGAGACACAUCCUGGCUCAAAACAAGUUACCUCUGAAUUGACUAACGUAUUAUGACACAACGAUUAUGGACAUACCAAUUGUGACUAACGGAAAAAGACAAUCGACUCCACACACACUCGACAUCCCAAUUUGUGACAAACUAAUUGUAUGCAAUGUAAAGAUCACUGAUUAACUAUAAAUUUAUUUUUCAUUGAUUCCAUUAUGAAAGUAAUUGACUGUAUAAUAAACAAAAUAAU